CUGAUUCCUUUCUAGGGCCUGGUUCAUGAAAGGGACUUGUUUGACUGCAGUUGGCCGCUCACUUCAAAUCUGCUAAGCGCAGCUAGUGCUUUGGAAGCAGUACCGGCCAUACUAAAGAUGGGUGGAGAUGGCCAAGGAGAUCCCCAGUUGCUGUCUGCUAAUUGAGGUGUCGUUACCACCRCGCGUUGUUCCUGUCCCGCAUCCCUCUGCAAGGGGCAAUUUGGAACAACUAGAGGAGCUAGAAAUACUGAUACAAGAUUCAAAAACAUCCUGCAUGACACCACUGUGAUUUUUCUGUACAGCGUCUCCGUUCAGUGCUCUAUUAGUCCGGAUGUGACCGAGGGAUGGAGCUGCGCUGAUCAGACCCUGCUGCACCACAGGCUGGGGAAUCCCACGCAGAAAGCCGUUAUCCUGGAGUUACUCCUGAUGCGCUUUCCACAUUGUUCAUGCUUCAUUACUGAUAGGAGUAAUUCUGAACAGGUGGCUUCAUGAUCUUCUGUUACUUUAGCUAUGGUCAAACUGUUCCAUAUGUGCAUUUGUUAAAAGAUAUUUAACACAAGUUUAAAAAAAAAAAAAAAAAGGAGCGACUGCAAGAGAAGUUUCUCCUAAUGGUUCCUCCUGRAAAGGAUUACCCAGCUUCCUGUUUGUCACAGGACUGCUGUUGUUCAAAGCAGUAAAGGGGAAAUUAUUGCAGAGAAGGCAACAGUCUGGAGGCAUAAGGCCUUUUGUUUUUUCUUGGUUCACUGCAAGUUGGGGAGGCCUCUUGGUGACUGCUUUCUCUUGCUUUUGUCUCCCACAUGUCACAGGAAACAAUUUCAGAGCAAGGAAUUGGUAAGCUAGGACUUGGACAAGUGUUUUCAUAGUACAGUUUACCUAGUASGUGGUACUGGCUUGCAAAAGGGACUUAAAAGAAUCACAAUGUUGCAGAUUCAUUUGGCUUCCUUGUUGAUCAGACCUGUGUGGGACCAUCUUUCUCACCCAGAAAAGCAUGGUGACUACUGAUUGCCAUGGCGUAGACCUACAGGAGACAGCUUCCUCCACCCUUCCGCUGAAUGCGGCCUUGCUCCAGUGGAGCUAUUCUUGCUGGUUCUGGGAGUUUUCUUGACAUCAGUAAAGGCUGCAGAAUUUACCUCUGAAAGAAAACUUGCUGACCUAAACUGAUCACAGGAAAUAGUAGAUUAUCCUAGGUGAAAGAGGAUUAAUCAGCCAUUCCAGACGAGGAUGAAUUCCAUAAGAACAAUUUACAUGUGGCUAUUAAUCUAUGGAUGAGCUUUCAGACUGUUGUUUAAACCUCAUUAUUGACACUCUUUGAAGUGAAAGGAAGUCACCCAUGUAGGAGAUCAGAAUCAGUUCUGUUUUCUGUUUCUUUGUUAAAAAUGCUGCUUUCUCUUUGCCCUUCCAGAGAAUGYGUGUCCCUUCUCCUUGCAGAGUGAAUCAGCACUGGCAUUUUUGCAAAAAUGGUUACCCUGGUUUCCCUGAUGCAGCUUUUUGA
rnacentral:lncRNA from 1 species